ensembl:lncRNA
AAAGGACUGUUGGGAAGGAAAACUGUUGGCUCUAAUUUAGGCUCAGUGAUUAGAAGCCUGUGAGUUAACUGGCAAAAGACAGAUUAACAGGAGAAAAAGCAAAGCUUGUUCAUAUGCACAUAAAUCCAGCAAAGAAGUGGUCCCUCCAAAUUAGAGGAAGAUGUUUAUAAUUGGAGCAUUAAAACAAAAAGGGGGGCUCUGUGAAAGGUAAAAGCUGAUGCUUGGCACGGAUGCAGCUCUUUCCAGGCACCCUUCCUACCCCCUGGACCGGAUUUCUCUUCUGGCUGUCGCUGCUACCAGGAGCCCAUCCAUACUGGCCUGCGUUCCCAGUCACCCAAACCUCAACCUCCCUGCUCCCCAUCUUCCUCCCUCCCAUCUCUAGGCUCCCUUCCACUCUUCCUUAAGCUUACCAACACCCAGGAGGAUUUGCUU